rnacentral:rRNA from 2 species
UCCGUAGGUGAAACUGCGGAAGGAUCAUUA